AAACACCUGCAAAAAGAAAAGCGCUGCAAAAAGAAAAAAUGCUGCAAAAAGAAAAACGCUGCAAAAGCACACAAAGCACAACGCAAAUAGGAAAAGACACAACGGAAAUAGGAAAAGACACAACGGAAACAGGAAACGACACAACGGAAAUGUUCCUGGGGAGACAAUAAACCGACGGACCAGUUGCACGAACCAAAACAUGCUAGCCAGUGCGCUGGGACUGCGAGACACUUCAAAGAAGUGGAGGAGAGGCAAUGUAUUGUCCAUAUUGUGGAAUCCAGCUAGUGGGGCAAAUUGGAGUUUUUUGUGGGUCCUGUGGAACUAACAUUCAAGUUUUAGCACCUUUUAUAGAGAAUGGCCCAGUCUCAGUCA